CUCACAGGAGAGAACCCUGAUACCUGAGGACUGAAAGUGGAGACCACAUAGAGACUGGGAGGGAUGCAGAGGGUCUUCCACUCAGCUACUCUUCCAUCAUCCCAGAAGUUCUGCAGGCUCCUCCAAGAAUCCUGGGUCCCUGAGAAAUACAGUUGGGAAACUGUUACAGAGAAACAAGCAAUGAAAAUCUCCAGAACAUUUGGCAACAGAACAUGCAAGAGCUGAACUAGGCGAUACCCAAUGACAGACUAUAGGGUUUGGUUGAAGGGGUGAGAGUGAGGAGAAAAGCGAUAUAAAGAGAAUCAUAGAAGCUGUGAGAGGAAGGAGAUAGAGAAGGGACCUUGGUAGAGACACAUCCAUUCUGCCUACGUCUAGGUUGGCCACGUGGGAAUGCCCUGAAUAUCCAGAACACGGGAGGAGCCAGGUAGGGGACCAGCUUUCCAGAGAGUUCUCAAUGGUUUUAGCCCCCAGGGAUUCACAUCCUUAUGCAGUGUCCUCCCACAUUGGAAAGGCCUGACCUGUGUACCCAAUAGGAUUCUGUAGAGAUGAUUGUGUCUGGUCAGUCUGGGUCCUAAAAGGUAUGUGGCCUCGUUCUCAUGGAUCACUCGAUCUGGGAGAAGCCAGCUGCCAUGCUGUGAGGACACUAAGCAGCUCUAUGGGGAGGUCCAUAAUCCAGGACCCACAGCCGCCUCCAGUAGCUCGGUGAGGAAGCAGUCUUGGAGGUGGAUCUUCUAGCCCCAAUCAGGCCUUCAGAUGACUCAAGCCUGAGCUGAUAUCUUGACUGCAAUCUCGUGAAACUGAACAAGAACCAGCUGAGCUUCUCCUGAACUCCUGACCCCAAGAAACUGUGAGUCAUAAAGCUGUGCUGUUGUAAGUCGCUGUGGGUUGGGGUAAUUAUUUGUGUGGCCAUAGAUAACUAAAAUACCGAGAGCUGCAUUAAAUGGAGUCUACUCCAAGUCUCCACUGCCUUGUGGAUUCUGAGUUGAACAUGGUGCUUGGCUCGCCCUCCUUGAGGCACACCCACUUCCUUCCCAGUGAAUUUUCUUUCUCUGAAAUUCCAAGGGUCCCCACAAGACUUGCAAUCAG